rnacentral:rRNA from 1 species
UUUAAUUGAAGAGUUUGAUCAUGGCUCAGAUUGAACGCUGGCGGCAGGCCUAACACAUGCAAGUCGAGCGGAAACGAAGAGGUGCUUGCACCUCUGGCGUCGAGCGGCGGACGGGUGAGUAAUGCUUGGGAAUAUGCCUUAUGGUGGGGGACAACAGUUGGAAACGACUGCUAAUACCGCAUAAUGUCUACGGACCAAAGUGGGGGACCUUCGGGCCUCACGCCAUAAGAUUAGCCCAAGUGGGAUUAGCUAGUUGGUGAGGUAAUGGCUCACCAAGGCGAC